rnacentral:piRNA from 1 species
UGUCAGAUCUGUCAUAUUAAGGUCCCUGAUU